rnacentral:misc_RNA from 1 species
UCCGGCUUAUCACCGGCGGUUUCUUUAGAGUGCCCAACUAAAUGAUGGCAACUAAAGACGAGGGUUGCGCUCGUUGCGGGACUUAACCCAACAUCUCACGACACGAGCUGACGACAGCCAUGCAGCACCUGUGUCCAGGCUCCCUUUCGGGCACCCCUCCGUCUCUGGAGGGUUCCUGGCAUGUCAAGGGUAGGUAAGGUUUUGCGCGUUGCAUCGAAUUAAACCACAUCAUCCACCGCUUGUGCGGGCCCCCGUCAAUUCCUUUGAGUUUCAGCCUUGCGGCCGUACUCCCCAGGCGGAGUGCUUAAUGCGUUAGCUGCAGCACUAAGGGGCGGAAACCCCCUAACACUUAGCACUCAUCGUUUACAGCGUGGACUAC